AGCAGCCGCGGUAAUUCCAGCUCCAAUAGCGUAUAUUAAAGUUGUUGCAGUUAAAAAGCUCGUAGUUGAAUUUCGGGGUCAGCAGGUUGGUCGUGCCACUGGUAUGUACUGGCUUUGCUGAUUCCUCCUUCUUGUAGAACCGUAAUGCCAUUAAUUUGGUGUUGCGGGGAAACAGGACUGUUACUUUGAAAAAAUUAGAGUGUUUAAAGCAGGCUAACGCUUGAAUACAUUAGCAUGGAAUAAUGAAAUAGGACGAGCGAUCCUAUUUUGUUGGUUUCUAGGAUUGACGUACUGAUUAAUAGGGAUAGUUGGGGGCAUUAGUAUUCAAUUGUCAGAGGUGAAAUUCUUGGAUUUAUUGAAGACUAACUACUGCGAAAGCAUUUGCCAAGGAUGUUUUCAUUAAUCAAGAACGAAAGUUAGGGGAUCGAAGACGAUCAGAUACCGUCGUAG
rnacentral:rRNA from 1 species